rnacentral:rRNA from 1 species
GAUGAACGCUGGCGGCGUGCCUAAUACAUGCAAGUCGAGCGAACAGACGAGGUGCUUGCUCCACUGACGUUAGCGGCGGACGGGUGAGUAACACGUGGAUAACCUACCUAUAAGACUGGGAUAACUUCGGGAAACCGGAGCUAAUACCGGAUAAUAUCUUUAACCACAUGGUUCAAUAGUGAAAGACGGUUUUGCUGUCACUUAUAGAUGGAUCCGCGCCGCAUUAGCUAGUUGGUAAGGUAACGGCUUACCAAGGCAACAAAGCGUAGCCGACCUGAGAGGGUGAUCGGCCACACUGGAACUGAGACACGGUCCAGACUCCUACGGGAGGCGGCAGUAGGGAAUUUUCCGCAAGGGGCGAAAGCCUGACGGAGCAACGCCGCGUGAUUGAUGAAGGUCUUCGGAUCGUAAAACUCUGUUAUUAGGGAAGAAGAAAUGUGUAAGUAACUAUGCACGUCUUGACGGUACCUAAUCAGAAAGCCACGGCUAACUACGUG